CCUACGGGCGGCAGCAGUGAGGAAUAUUGGUCAAUGGACGAGAGUCUGAACCAGCCAAGUAGCGUGAAGGAUGAAUGCCCAAUGGGUUGUAAACUUCUUUUAUAAGGGAAGAAAACAGGGUAUGCAUACCCUCUUGUAUGUACCAUAUGAAUAAGGAUCGGCUAACGCCGUGCACUCAGCCGCGGUAAUACGGAGGAUCCGAGCGUUAUCCGGAUUUAUUGGGUUUAAAGGGAGCGUAGGUGGAUUGUUAAGUCAGUUGUGCAAGUUUGCGGCUCAACCGUAAAAUUGCCGUUGAAACUGGCAGUCUUGCGUACAGUAGAGGUGGGCGUAAUUCGUGGUGUAGCGGUGACAUGCUUCGAUAUCACGCAGAACUCCGAUUGCGAAGGCAGCUCACUGGACUGCAACUGACACUGAUGCUCGAACGUGUGGGUAUCAAACAGGAUUAGAUACCCUAGUAGUC
rnacentral:rRNA from 1 species